AUGCAGUCGAACGAGCGAGAGAAAGCUUGCUUUUUCGAGCGAGUGGCGAACGGGUGAGUAACGCGUGAGGAACCUGCCUCAAAGAGGGGGACAACAGUUGGAAACGACUGCUAAUACCGCAUAAGCCCACAGGUCGGCAUCGACCAGAGGGAAAAGGAGCAAUCCGCUUUGAGAUGGCCUCGCGUCCGAUUAGCUAGUUGGUGAGGUAAUGGCCCACCAAGGCGACGAUCGGUAGCCGGACUGAGAGGUUGAACGGCCACAUUGGGACUGAGACACGGCCCAGACUCCUACGGGAGGCAGCAGUGGGGAAUAUUGCACAAUGGGGGAAACCCUGAUGCAGCGACGCCGCGUGGAGGAAGAAGGUCUUCGGAUUGUAAACUCCUGUUGUUGGGGAAGAUAAUGACGGUACCCAACAAGGAAGUGACGGCUAACUACGUGCCAGCAGCCGCGGUAAAACGUAGGUCACAAGCGUUGUCCGGAAUUACUGGGUGUAAAGGGAGCGCAGGCGGGAAGACAAGUUGGAAGUGAAAUCUAUGGGCUCAACCCAUAAACUGCUUUCAAAACUGUUUUUCUUGAGUAGUGCAGAGGUAGGCGGAAUUCCCGGUGUAGCGGUGGAAUGCGUAGAUAUCGGGAGGAACACCAGUGGCGAAGGCGGCCUACUGGGCACCAACUGACGCUGAGGCUCGAAAGUGUGGGUAGCAAACAGGAUUAGAUACCCUGGUAGUCCACACCGUAAACGAUGAUUACUAGGUGUUGGAGGAUUGACCCCUUCAGUGCCGCAGUUAACACAAUAAGUAAUCCACCUGGGGAGUACGACCGCAAGGUUGAAACUCAAAGGAAUUGACGGGGGCCCGCACAAGCAGUGGAGUAUGUGGUUUAAUUC
rnacentral:rRNA from 1 species